rnacentral:rRNA from 1 species
GAUGAACGCUGGCGGCGUGCCUAACACAUGCAAGUCGAACGGAGAUUACGGACGGAAGUUUUCGGAUGGAAGACUGUAAUUCUUAGUGGCGGACGGGUGAGUAACGCGUGGGCAACCUGCCCUAUACAGGGGGAUAGCAGCUGGAAACGGCUGGUAAGACCGCAUAAGUCGGUUAAAUCGCAUGAUUUGAUCGGGAAAUGAGCAAUCAGGUAUAGGAUGGGCCCGCGUCCGAUUAGCCAGUUGGCAGGGUAAAAGCCUACCAAAGCGACGAUCGGUAGCCGGACUGAGAGGUAGGACGGCCACAUUGGGACUGAGACACGGCCCAAACUCCUACGGGAGGCAGCAGUGGGGGAUAUUGCACAAUGGAGGAAACUCUGAUGCAGCGACGCCGCGUGAGUGAAGAAGUAUUUCGGUAUGUAAAGCUCUAUCAGCAGGGAAGAUGAUGACGGUACCUGACUAAGAAGCCCCGGCUAACUACGUG